rnacentral:tRNA from 1 species
GGGCGCAUGGCUCAGUUGGUUAGAGCGCCACACUCACAUUGUGGAGAUCGAGGGUUCAAGUCCUUCUGCGCCCA